CAGCCGCCGCGGUAAUACCGGCGGCCCGAGUGGCGGCCACUAUUAUUGGGCCUAAAGCGUCCGUAGCCGGGCUGGUAAGUCCUCCGGGAAAUCUGGUCGCUUAACGAUCAGACUUCCGGAGGAUACUGCUGGCCUAGGGACCGGGAGAGGCCGAGGGUAUUCCCGGGGUAGGGGUGAAAUCCUGUAAUCCCGGGAGGACCACCUGUGGCGAAGGCGCUCGGCUGGAACGGGUCCGACGGUGAGGGACGAAGGCCAGGGGAGCGAACCGGAUUAGAUCCCCGGGUAGUCCUGGCUGUAAACGAUGCGGACUAGGUGUCGGGCAAGCUAAGGGCUUGUCCGGUGCCGCAGGGAAGCCGUUAAGUCCGCCGCCUGGGGAGUACGGCCGCAAGGCUGAAACUUAAAGGAAUUGGCGGG
rnacentral:rRNA from 1 species